UCAAGCUAAUAAGAGCGCAAGGGGAAUGCCUUGGCAUCAGGAGCCGACGAAGGACGUGACAAGCUGCGAUAAGCUACGGUGAGGAGCAAAUAUCCUGUGACCCGUAGAUUUCCGAAUGGGGCAACCCGGCUGGACAAUAUCCAGUCAUCCUGCAUUGAAUCAAAUAGGUGUAGGAAGGGAACCGCCUGAACUGAAACAUCUAAGUAGGGCGAGGAAAAGACAUCAACCGAGAUUCCGCAAGUAGUGGCGAGCGAACGCGGAAGAGGCCAAACCGGAGGAUUUAUUCUCCGGGGUUGCGGACAGCUAUACGGAACAAUAGUUUAGCCGAACGGUCUGGGAAGGCCGGUCACAGAGGGUGAGAACCCCGUAGGCGAAAGACGAAUUGUUUCAGGCUGGAUCCAGAGUACCGCAGGACACGUGAAACCCUGUGGGAAACAGGGGGGACCACCCUCCAAGCCUAAAUACUACCUGAUGACCGAUAGAGGAGCAGUACCGUGAGGGAAAGGUGAAAAGGACCCCGGGAGGGGAGUGAAAGAGAACCUGAAACCUUGUGCUUACAAGCAGUCAGAGCACGUUAACGUGUGAUGGCGUACUUUUUGUAGAACGGUCCGGCGAGUUAUAGUAACGAGCAAGCUUAAGGUAUUCAGUACCGGAGGCGAAGCGAAAGCGAGUCUGAAUAGGGCGCAUGAAGUUCGUUGCCAUAGACCCGAAACCGGGUGACCUACGCAUGAGCAGGUUGAAGUGGGGGUGAAACCCCAUGGAGGACCGAACCAACCCCCGUUGCAAUGGUGGUGGAUGACUUGUGCGUAGCGGUGAAAUUCCAAUCGAACUCGGAGAUAGCUGGUUCUCCCCGAAAUAGCUUUAGGGCUAGCGUUAGUUUAGAUUACCGGAGGUAAAGCACUGAAUGGUUUAGGGGCUGAUAAAGUUACCGACGCCUAUCAAACUCUGAAUGCCGGAUAAUUGAUGACUAGCAGUCAGACAGUGUGAGAUAAGUUUCAUUGUCAAAAGGGAAACAGCCCAGACCUACAGCUAAGGUCCCAAAUGUAUGCUAAGUGGAAAACGAUGUGGAAUUGCGAAAACAACCAGGAUGUUGGCUUAGAAGCAGCCACACAUUAAAAGAGUGCGUAAUAGCUCACUGGUCGAGUGACUCUGCGCGGAAAAUGUAACGGGGCUAAGCAUGCAACCGAAGCUUAGGAUUGUCUAAAGACAGUGGUAGGGGAGCGUUCUGUAUGGGGUGAAGUCGCAGCGAGAGCAGCGGUGGACUGUACAGAAGUGAGAAUGCCGGAAUGAGUAGCGAGAAUUAUGUGGGAAUCAUAAUGGCCGAAAAUCUAAGGUUUCUUGGGGAAGGUUCGUCCGCCCAAGGUAAGUCGGGAGCUAAGCUCAGGCCGAGAGGCGUAGGCGAUGCACAUACGGUAGAAAUUCCGUAACCACCGAAACUUAAACAGAGGGACACUUCGAAAUAGCGGAACCCGGGCGUUGGUUGACCCGGGCGAAAGGGAGCGAAAUUAGAGUAGCGAAGUCCGCGAUGUUCGGAGGCGAGAAAAGCUCUGAGGUAUGCUAAGGUGCCCGUACCGCAAACCGACACAGGUAGAUGAGGAGAGAAUCCUAAGGCCAACGGGAGAAGGGUUGUUAAGGAACUCGGCAAAUUGACCCCGUAACUUCGGAAGAAGGGGAGCCCCCUACGGGGGGUCGCAGAGAAAUGGCCCAAGCAACUGUUUACCAAAAACACAGGUCUAUGCUAAAUCGAAAGAUGACGUAUAUGGGCUGACGCCUGCCCGGUGCCGGAAGGUUAAGAGGAGAUGUCAGGCAACGAAGCAUUGAAUUUAAGCCCCGGUAAACGGCGGCCGUAACUAUAACGGUCCUAAGGUAGCGAAAUUCCUUGUCAGGUAAGUUCUGACCCGC
rnacentral:rRNA from 1 species